CUCCAUUGUUUCAGAUGGUAAUCCAAUGUGUAAGCAAUGGACUGUUUUAUUCUUGGUGCUUUCAAGACCUGAUGCUUUGUUUUGAACAGGUUGAUACAUCUAGUAAGAAGACUUUCACCAGGUGCUGGUACCAUGUUCUUGGACUUCCCAGUCUCCCAAACCAUAAGCCAACCUGCAACAUCCGACAGCUUCAGUUACUGAGUGAAAUACAUCACCGCUUUCCGUGCUCCCGCCGCCAUUGAAAUUGUGUUUGGCAUCUGACCACCAAGAUAGAGAUAUUUCCUAGACUGUUUUGCAGCUAGGUACUUAGCAUUUCUCUUUCCUCUGGCGAAAAAUAUCUGCUUUGUUUAAAAUAAAUGUUCCAUCCAUGCAGCUAAGCAGCUAAGGACACGAACAGCCACUGAUACAGGCCAACUCAUCAGUAGAUUAUUGAGAUUUCAUACUAGGACCUUUCAGUGGCUGAACAAAGACAAAGACAGAAAUCAAGGAAGGUCAAAGAAGCAGUCAAUUUUCUGGCACCCAAAGUUGUUGGAGAAGGGUACAGAGUCGGUAAAUAAGCCAUAUGACAGACAGGCAGUAUUUUCUUAUUUUAAUAACAAGUUUAAAAAUCCCACUUCUUGUACUUACCUUCUGUCUGAUGUCAUCAGUAUCUUAAGAUGCCAACUGGGAACAAGUUCAACACUGCAUUACUGAAGAAUCCAGAUUAUCUACAUCUCACGUGCCAAAUGAAAGAAAGAACCCAGAAAAUAAAACAAUAUGAUGAUAACAGUAAAAUUUUUUAAAAUGAAA